CGAAUCAGUGAUUGUGACCGUAGAGAAACCGCAGGUGUAAGGGAGGAACCCAGGGCCGGCACCGCAGACUCCCAGAGAGCGCCGCGCCAAGGUUCUGUGACCUUGAACGAGAGUAAGAAAAAGCAUGCAAACACCUAUGAGAGGGACCUAGGUAGAAAUAACACACAAUGCGCAGAAGAGGAAAAAUUUAAUCCUAUCCUGUGAGGAAGCUCAAAUGGCUUGCUAAAUCUUAGUCUGUAGCGGAGACUGGACUUCAUCUAGAUCUGUGAAAUCAAGAUGAGGAAACCGAGGCUCAGAGAUGCAAAACAACAUGCCUAAAAUCAAACAACUGAAGAGCACACCAGAGAACUGCAGUGAUGGACUGUACCAGCUACAGCCAUAGUUCAUCGAAUCUGACAGAGAAAUAACACUGAGGCCCAGAUGGGAGGAUUCAGGCGGGUCGUCGGGGCUGCUGAGGAAAUUUUGGAAAUGUCUCCGGUGGGACGAGGAGUUCCAAAAGGCAAGGUCAUUUUUUCCAGCCCAAUAUGCCACUGUGGUUAGGGACGUACUCUGCCUUCAGGCUCAAGUGUGUUCCAGAGAAAUGCACC